rnacentral:lncRNA from 1 species
CUUGUACACUAUUAGGAGGAGCACGAAAAUGUCCAUAUUUUUAAACCGUUUUCGAUGAUGAAACUUUCGAAUCGACGAUCGGCUUCUUUAGACUUGAUCUAGCGUAUUUGAAGUAUUUGCAAAAUAAAAUUUACGAUUUUUCGAUAUUAUUUAGCUAGCAAUCGAAAAAGUUCAAAAUCAACGGCUGAAAAUAAAAAUUUCGCAAAACUUGAUGACAUAACACUAGAAUUUCUAUCAAAAUUUCAUCUGAUUUGAAUAUUUCUAUACCGUUAAACUUACAAACGAUAUAUAUCAACCGUUAAAAAUUGUUGAUUUUGAACUCUUUCAGUCGCUAGACAAAUGAUAUGAAAAAAUCGUAAAAUUUAUUUUCUAAAUAUUUCAAAUACGCUAGAUCAAAUCUAACGAAGCCGAUUGUCGAUUCGAAAACUCCAUCAACGAAAACGGCUUAAAAGCACGGAGGCCUCCGAGCUCUAAUAGCGCACAAAACCUACUCCUAUAUAUCUUAGUGAUAAAACCAUCAAUCACUUAAGCCAAUGUAGAAUCCUAAUGUAAUUCUAUUUUAGUUCUAAUAUAAUUUAAUAAUCAAAACUAAUUAAACUCGAAAUCAAAGUGAGCAUUAUCUCUUUACAAAAACACUACAACAGAAUUAGGUUAUAGGGACACAUGUUUAGGACACUUUUGAGUAAGUGUCCCAUUUAUACUAAAACUUAAAAAAAUAUCUACUAAUGCUUAAAUAUAAAGCCCAAUCCAACCAAAAAUAAAAGAUUACUCUACUCAACCCACCACACCCAGUCCAUUUGGCCCGAUUACAAACAGAAAAGAAAAAAAAAAGAAGAAAAAUCAAUUGACAUUUUUUCUUCUCUCUUCACUCAAUCUACUGAAAUUCUAGACGAAGAGUCAUUCCUGUCGUCCUCCUCCGCCACCGCAGCCAACGAGAUAGAGUUUCGACGGUUGCUAAAUGCUUAAAUAAGUGUUGGUAAAUUAGCGGCACUCUUUUAGGUUAUAGCGACACUCUUUAACUGUCACUAUAUACCUAGCGACCCCACAUAUAGCAACACUUUUUAAAAGUGUCGGUAAUUUUAGCUAGCAGCACUUUUUUGACAUGUACCUACACUUAAAAGUGUCGCUAUAGACCGUUUUUGUUGUAGUGAAAGU